ensembl:lncRNA
CUUGUGAGAUGCAAGACUGCCAGCAGGGUUGGGGCCAGUGGGUUCACCAAGUCAGGCAGCCUGUAAGAGAGGACCGGCUGUGAAGAACCAGGAGGGAGCGGGAGGGAGAGCAGAGCAGUUGUUAACAGCUUCCCUGGUAUGACCAGCUGGAUUCGGAGAAGCACAACAAAGUUGUAAAGUUCAGCAAAGAAGAUCUGAGGGCUUCACACAGGGACUUCACAUCAGAACUCUUCCAAACAACUGUUUUCUUGGACAUUUCCCAGAGCUUGAAAAAAAGGAAGAAGCAACAGCAGCCUAAGAUGGAUGUGGAGGUGCAUGGGGUUUGGGGGACCCCAAUGGAUGAGGACAUGAUGCUAGGAAGCAGGCUUUUGACAUAUAUUGACCCUCAAGCUCUGGAGUGAGGAAUGCAUGCUUGCAAGGGGGAAAAUAUAUUUCUUCUUAUCCUAUCAAAACACAAAACCACCAGCUGUAAAAAGAGGAGAGUCCACACGGAAGGUAGUACUGUCCCUGGUCACUACCCAAGACAAAUAUGAAACAUCACAUGAGGAAGAAGUGAUUUCUUUGCGCCAGAACUUCAAGAUAAAACAUCAAAGCAUUAAAACCACAGGACCUAGACAACCUGGAGGAAACAGAAGGCAGAGAUGUACCGGGGUGAUUAUAAUCAAAUGAGCAAAGCCUUUGGCUUGAAGUUCCCUGAUACAGCUCCAAAAUAGCAGGUUUCCUCGCAGACACUUGCUGUCAGUCCUUGGGUUUUGGAGAAUCGCAGAAGCCUGACAUUUACUCCUGCUCAUACAAGGUCCUUUUCUCUCCCCGGGGCCAGGCAGCGAAUCGAUGGCCAUGAUAGCAGUGAGAGCCAUAUCUGUAGUGACCACCCCUCCUUUCUCCUCAUCCAAGGCCCAGCUAGUCACACUUCGAGUCACCUUGGGCAGCUGAGAAAAAUAAGUUUUGAAAAUGAUAAUGGGACAUGACAGAGAAAAGAAAGUAAUAGCAUUCGAGACAUUGAUUUAUUAUUCAGAUGAUUUACGAUGUUCAUAUUAGUUUUCUUCUACAUCAGAGUAAGUGCUUAAGCAUCUCUUCAUUUUACUUUCUUAUCAAGAGUGAAUAUAUAAUUCAAUUUUGGACUUCAAUUAAAAUAGCAGCUAAUUUUACUUUAAUUAUCACUUAUUUUUGAAACUUUGUAAAAGUUUAAAACUUUAAAAAAUUUUGUAAUCUAAAUUUUUUCCUAAAAUAAUACCUACAGAUAGUAUAAAGAAUUAAAUAAUAAUGCCUUUUGUGCUACAAGUUAAGCUAAGUUUGUAUUUAAACCCAAUUUCUAUGAUAUAAUAGUCCAUUAUGAGGACCCUGCUAGGAGAUAUCUCUACAGAAGAAAAAAAUGUAAAAAGAGGCAUUUUUAUUUCAUCAAAAUCGAGUGUUGGAGGUCUUGUUUUGUCAUAUGGGGAACUGUGGCAGUAUUUCAUGCAAUUAUUGUGGACUGAAGAUUUCUCUUAAUGGCAUAAUAAUUACAUACCUGUGAAAAAAUCACUCUCUUCUUUUUGGGUAAAGUCACUUGUCAUCUCGGUAGCAUUUUGUUGAAGUCAGGAAAGUUUACUGUGUCAGGAAAUAAUCAUAGUUUGCUCUGGUAGUCUGUAGUUCUUAAUGACACACUGGAUAGCGUGUAGUAAUAAUAAACGAAGAAAAAGUGUAUGGAAACCAACUAUUAAUUUGGUAUGGUGUGGCUUAGCUAAUGUAACUUGCUAUUCCAUUAAUAUUGUAUCAUUGUUUGCUGAGUGAAAGUAUACGAGUUAUGAUAUUCUGCUUUGUAAAUUACUUUUGAAGAGAAAGAGAAAGAGAAUGCUGUCUAGCCUUCCACUCUUCAUGAAAAGUCUUCAGAGUAGUUAUAUACAGAUAUUCCUUCAGACCUACCUGUUUGGAUUUAUGACCAAGGAGCAUUGUUCGGAUUUAUGAUCCACACUCGGACUUACGACUCGCGUUUGAACUUAAGCUCCAGGAAUGUGAGCGGCAGUGUGGUCUUAUGGUGGCUUCUUCUACAGUACAGUACUGUAAUUUUUGCUGACUGUACCACACAGUACAGGACUGUAGCUUUAUGUUCUGUUAUACACUAGAGUACUGCAUGUAAGAGUUAUGCAAAUAAAAGCAAAGUCAUCAAC